AGUGAACGCUGGCGGUAGGCCUAACACAUGCGAGUCGAACGGCAGCACAGUAAGAGCUUGCUCUUACGGGUGGCGAGUGGCGGACGGGUGAGGAAUACAUCGGAAUCUACUUUUUCGUGGGGGAUAACGUAGGGAAACUUACGCUAAUACCGCAUACGACCUACGGGUGAAAGCAGGGGAUCUUCGGACCUUGCGCGAUUGAAUGAGCCGAUGUCGGAUUAGCUAGUUGGCGGGGUAAAGGCCCACCAAGGCGACGAUCCGUAGCUAGUCUGAGAGGAUGAUCAGCCACACUGGAACUGAGACACGGUCCAGACUCCUACGGGAGGCAGCAGUGGGGAAUAUUGGACAAUGGGCGCAAGCCUGAUCCAGCCAUACCGCGUGGGUGAAGAAGGCCUUCGGGUUGUAAAGCCCUUCUGUUGGGAAAGAAAAGCAGCAGGUUAAUACCCCGCUGUUCUGACGGUACCCAAAGAAUAAGCACCGGCUAACUUCGUG
rnacentral:rRNA from 1 species